rnacentral:rRNA from 1 species
UCUACGGGACGCAGCAGGCGCGAAAACUUUACAAUGCUGGCAACAGCGAUAAGGGAACCUCGAGUGCCAGGUUACAAAUCUGGCUGUCGAGAUGCCUAAAAAGCAUUUCAUAGCAAGGGCCGGGCAAGACCGGUGCCAGCAGCCGCGGUAAUA